rnacentral:miRNA from 1 species
UGUGGGGAGAAGCUGCGGCAG